ensembl:snRNA U6 U6 spliceosomal RNA
GUGCUUGCUUCAGCCACACACAUAUUAAAACUGGAAUGAUACUAAGAAGAUUAGCAUGGUCCCCUGAGCGAGGAUGACAAGCAAAUUCAUGAAGCAUUCCAUAUUUUU